rnacentral:misc_RNA from 1 species
CAAACAUCCCUCCUCUACAUUCCUGGGCAAGCUAGGGCGUCAUGUCCCAACCCAGUCUAUUAAAGUGGAAAUUCACUGCCUACACUCUCGACCUCAGUCUUCAGUAUGUUGCAGUAAACCAUGUGUCAAACCUGUUUUUUUAGGUAUAUUUCUGACCAUAAGGACAAAUCAUGUGCAAUUGUUUGGCCUCAGCACAGAACAUUCAGUACAUGAACAAUGUAGUCUCACUCUAGAAAUGACUCUUCCAGUGAUCUGUUGUCGUUCAUACUGCAUUGGCCGGAACAGGAUAGUACAAGUACAUUUUUAUAUUACAGGAUAGGCUGUGUGUGUGUGUAAAACCCAUUAGUGCUACUUAAUUG